GAAAUGCGAUAAGUAGUGCGAAUUGCAGAAUUCAGUGAAUCAUCGAAUCUUUGAACGCACAUUGCGCCCCUUGGUAUUCCAUGGGGCAUGCCUGUUCGAGCGUCAUUUGUACCCUCAAGCUCUGCUUGGUGUUGGGUGUUUGUCCCCGUCUCCGCGCGUGGACUCGCCCCAAAGUGAUUGGCAGCCGGCGUACUGGUCCCGGAGCGCAGCACAUGUCGCGCAAACGAGUGCCUUGGUACGGCGGCGUCCAUAAGCCCCUCUCUCACGCUCUUGACCUCGGAUCAGGUAGGGAUACCCGCUGAACUUAAGC
rnacentral:misc_RNA from 1 species